rnacentral:tRNA from 1 species
GGAGUGGCUCAGGGGUAGAGUGCCUGCCUGGCAUGCACGAGGUCCUGGGUUCAAUCCCCAGUACCUCCA